rnacentral:rRNA from 1 species
GUGGGGAAUCUUAGACAAUGGGGGAAACCCUGAUCUAGCCAUGCCGCGUGAGCGAUGAAGGCCUUAGGGUUGUAAAGCUCUUUCAGCUGGGAAGAUAAUGACUGUACCAGCAGAAGAAGCCCCGGCUAACUCCGUGCCAGCAGCCGCGGUAAUACGGAGGGGGCUAGCGUUGUUCGGAAUUACUGGGCGUAAAGCGCACGUAGGCGGACCGGAAAGUCAGAGGUGAAAUCCCAGGGCUCAACCUUGGAACUGCCUUUGAAACUCCUGGUCUUGAGGUCGAGAGAGGUGAGUGGAAUUCCGAGUGUAGAGGUGAAAUUCGUAGAUAUUCAGAGGAACACCAGUGGCGAAGGCGACUCACUGGCUCGAUACUGACGCUGAGGUGCGAAAGCGUGGGGAGCAAACAGGAUUAGAAACCCUAGUAGUCC